rnacentral:lncRNA from 1 species
UAUUUUCUUUCCCUGAUGGAUUUAUCUGACAUAGUUUUAAAUGCCUACAGCAGAAGCCUGGCAGGAUCGGCAUUGUUGCAGGAACCUGCUUCUACGACGUACACCUUAAACCUUUCAUUUGUAUCAAUUAAUUCCUUCUUUUAGCGUUUUUAAUAAGGGCUGAGUAAAGAAAUGAGACAGCAAACUAAAUGUAAAUGGUGUACCUGCAAAGCCUGGUACACUUUGGGUAGAAACUGCGACUUAUCAUGACGCCAUUUCACUUGAUCCAACUGGGAAAACCCCUGUUCAAAGUCAAAACAAAAGAGUUGUCACGCAUAAGAACAAACAGUUGAAGCGCGCUUUGUUUAUCCCCACGUCUACUUAUACCUGCCUUGGUGGUUUUCUUUGGCACGCAGAUAUCCCUCCACAAGCCCGUGAUGGCCGCCACUCCGCCUCUGCUCGUCUUCCUUCUCCUUGCCUUAGUAGUGCUCUCUCCCCG